rnacentral:lncRNA from 10 species
GACACCCCUCCAUCCCCACUCUGCAGGCCACUCCCACUCAGAGGCUCUCCCUUGGGGUGAGGCUUUGGAGCUUGCUUGGGAAAAGUCCCACUUACCUCUCUGUGGCUGAAGGGCCCUUGGGCCUCACUCAAUAGCAGGUCCUUCCCACGGGCUGCCAGCUCCUUGAGGAUUAGGUGCUCCUCCAGGGCCGUCUGCAGGCGCCAGGGGAGGGAGGCCAGGGUGUCCCUGUGGACAGUCACCUGCACCAGUGCAUAGGCCUUCCGCGGCCGCCUCACCACUUCAAUGUGCUCCCGCGCCACCGGCAUCUCCAGCCGCUCCAGGGUGUCUCGCAGCAGGCAGGCAAGCACCGGCACUGAGAACUGGGGGUUCAGAUGGCCCACAUAGAGAGUGUGCGCCGAGGGAGCCUCCUCGAGGUCAGAGUACUCCGUCAGGGACUGCUCUGCGGGUAGCUCCGGCAGGGACUCCUCACCCCAGGACUCCAUGAAGGGCUCUGACACCUGUGUUUGCACUGAUCUCUUCAUGGGGGUCAUGGGAAGGCUCUCCCUGGGAAGGGGUUCCAGGAUUCCUCACUGCUGGCUGCUUCUCCCAGGGUCUGUGUUCUCAGUGUGGCUUAAGGGCUCCCAGAGGACUCAGGGAGUGUCCCGGCUCCUGGGAGGUACACAGAUUGGCAGAGACUGGGCAGGGCCAGAGAGAGGGAGGGCAGAGGGCAAGCAGGAAAGGGCCUGCCACCCACCUGAGGCCUAGGAUGAGAAAGCAGAGUCACGUGGACUGAGCAAGACACAGGGCCUGUGGGAAGACGGGAUCUGCCCAAAAAGUGGCAGAAGGGACCAGAACUCAGGUCUCUG